rfam:Proteus penneri ATCC 35198 genomic scaffold Scfld0, whole genome shotgun sequence.
UUCCGAAAAAUAAAGAACUAGAAUGAAUACAGUAAGACUAGGAACCACCUCCUUGGCAAAUCCAAUCUCCCUUGGAUUUGCCUUUUC